CCCUUAGAUGUUCUGGGCCGCACGCGUGCUACACUGAGUAAUUCAAUGGGUAAGGGAACGCUAGAGCAUUACCUAAUCUUGAAAUUUGCUCGUGAUGGGGAUCGACGGUUGCAAUUUUCCGUCGUGAACGAGGAAUACCUUGUAGUCGCAUGUCAUCAUCAUGCGCCGAAUACGUCCCUGCCCUUUGUACACACCGCCCGUCGCUCCUACCGAUUGAGUGAUCCGGUGAGGCUCUGGGACCUGGACGGAAAGAGCGUUUCGCUUGUUCUGUUUGGGAAACUUGGUCGAACCUUAUCAUUUAGAGGAAGGAGAAGUCGUAACA
rnacentral:rRNA from 1 species